CCGAGUUUACAACUCCCAAACCCCUGUGAACAUACCUAUACGUUGCCAUCGGCGGAUCAGCCCGCGCCCCGUAAAAAGGGACGGCCCGCCCGAGGACCCCUAAACUCUGUUUUUAGUGGAACUUCUGAGUAAAACAAACAAAUAAAUCA
rnacentral:misc_RNA from 1 species